GUGAGGAAUUUUCCGCAAUGGGCGAAAGCCUGACGGAGCAAUGCCGCGUGAAGGAUGAAGGCCUAUGGGUUGUAAACUUCUUUUCUUAGAGAAGAACAUUGACGGUAUCUGAGGAAUAAGCAUCGGCUAACUCUGUGCCAGCAGCCGCGGUAAGACAGAGGAUGCAAGCGUUAUCCGGAAUGAUUGGGCGUAAAGCGUCUGUAGGUGGCUUCAAAAGUCUCCUGUCAAAGAUCAGGGCUUAACCCUGGGCCGGCAGGAGAAACUCUGAGGCUAGAGUUUGGUAGGGGCAGAGGGAAUUCCCGGUGGAGCGGUGAAAUGCGUAGAGAUCGGGAGGAACACCAAAGGCGAAAGCACUCUGCUGGGCCACAACUGACACUGAGAGACGAAAGCGAGGGGAGCAAAAGGGAUUAGAUACCCGUGUAGUCC
rnacentral:rRNA from 1 species